GGAGUUUGGACCGUGUCUCAGUUCCAAUGUGGGGGACCUUCCUCUCAGAACCCCUACCGAUCGAGGGCUUGGUGGGCCGUUACCCCGCCAACUACCUAAUCAGACGCACUCCCCAUCCAUUACCGUUAGUAAAACUUUGGUCUCGCUUAGAUGUCUGCACGAGACCGCAUCAGGGAUUUAAUCCAG
rnacentral:rRNA from 1 species